AUGGUUUCAUCAAUUGCAGCUAGCAAGCAUUCCGACACAGGAACGAGCAACAACAAACUUCCGUUGCAACCUGUUGUUGAGAACAGUUUGUCGUUAGUUCAUAACGACUCGCAUGACGCUUUAGCAACCCCAGAAUGUGCGAUUACUAAAAUUGUUGAACACAGCAAUGAAAAAGUGCCCGAAGUGGAAGUAGUGAAGAAGGUCAGGGCUAGGGUGUUCAACACAAUGCAUCGUGAGCAGGAGUUUUCUUUGAUUAACACAUUCCCAGCAGGGGUGAAGGAGCGCAACUCUUUUCUGCAGUUUAGUGUGCAACACAGCUAG
rnacentral:rRNA from 1 species